AAAAACAUAAAGCUUGUAUAAUAAAUUAGUGCCAUUUGAUAACUUUCAAUACAAAAAUAAAAAAGAAUCUUACAAGAACCUUUUAACAAGAUAAUUAUGACAUAUUCAAUAUUUUUUUACACAAUCAAAUUUAUAUUUUUUAUAUGCUAUAAAUGGUAAAAAUCUUAUACAUUAUUCUGUUUACUGGUUGCAAUAAAUUAAUUUAAACUUUGAUUCUGUAGAAUUCAGUGUAAAGGAUCAAGAGCAACAAUUUCUUUGGUUAACAAAAUUAUACACUCUUCUUGCUACAUCUCAAAAAGAAUAAAUUAUAAAUAUAUGUAUAUUGUCUCAAAUUAACAUCGAGAGUUUAUUUAGUAAGCCAAUCCUAAUUCAUCAUUAAUUAAAAUGUGCACUAUUGCUUUGCACUCUAAUAGAAUUGAUAUUAAGUAUUAAGUCCAAUUAUUUCUAAUUUGAAGUUGAUUCCUUUCAAUACCAUAUUUCUGCAAGAAAAAGAGUGUUAAUUCUGGAUGUAAAUUCAAUUUAAAAAAACACGUGGUCUUGAAUGGAAGUAAAUAAUGACUAGAUAGAAGCUCAACUUCAAGAGAUUAUGAACUCUACCAGCAUGCAGAUAUAUUACUGCCAUGCUACAUGAGGCAAAACAUAUCAUACAUGGCCUUGGGACAAAGUACGGCACAUGAAUCUUACAAGACAUGAAGGAUAGUGUGGAACAGGGUUCGCAUGACAUGGUGGGUUCCUUUUUGGUGAUGAGUCUUCUAAACCAUCAAAGUUCCAAGCAAGACCUUGAUGGUUAUACAAGAAUAUCCUCGUCUCACUAGCAGACAUUUGUGAUAAGAUGGAGGGUAAUGAACGGGACACUAGACGAACCAAAAUAUGGAGCACUGAGAAAAGUGAC
rnacentral:lncRNA from 1 species